rnacentral:rRNA from 1 species
UACGUAGGUGCAAGGCGUUGUCCGGAAUUAUUGGCGUAAAGGAGCUCGUAGGCGGUCUGUUACGUCGGCUGUGAAAACCUGGGGCUCAACCCGGGCCUGCAACCGAUACGGCAGACUAGAAUUCGGUGAGGGGAGACGUGGAAUUCCUGGUGUAGCGGUGGAAUGCGCAGAUAUCAGGAGGAACACCGGUGGCGAAGGCGGGUCUCUGGGCCGACAUUGACGCUGAGGAGCGAAAGCGUGGGGAGCGAACAGG